rnacentral:rRNA from 1 species
GACGGUUCCCACAGAAUAAGCACCGGCUAACUACGUGCCAGCAGCCGCGGUGAUACGUAGGGUGCGAGCGUUGUCCGGAUUUAUUGGGCGUAAAGAGCUUGUAGGCGGUUUGUCGCGUCGGGAGUGAAAACUCAGGGCUUAACUCUAAGCUUGCUUUCGAUACGGGCUGACUUGAGGAAGGUAGGGGAGAAUGGAAUUCCUGGUGAAGCGGUGGAAUGCGUAGAUAUCAGGAGGAACACCGGUGGCGAAGGCGGUUCUCUGGACCUUUCCUGACGCUGAGAAGCGAAAGCGUGGGGAGCAAACAGGCUUAGAUACCCUGGUAGUCCACGCUGUAAACGGUGGGUACUAGGUGUGGGGGACAUUCCACGUUCUCCGUGCCGUAGCUAACGCAUUAAGUACCCCGCCUGGGGAGUACGGCCGC